CUUUUAGAUCACUCUCAUUCCAUCCCCAGACCCAUUUAGCUCCCCAGAGGUAACUGUACUGACAGUUUGGUGUCUGGUUGUUGUUGUUUUUUUUUCUUUUUUUGGGGGGACAGGGUCUGACUCUGUUCCCAGGCUAGAGUGCAGUGGCACGAUCUCGGCUUACUGCAGCCUCAACACCCCCCAGCCUGGGAUCAAGCCAUCCUCCCACCUCAGCCUCCUGAGUAGCUGGGACUACAGGUGCAUGCCACCACACCUGGCCAAUUUUUGUAUUUUUUUUGUAGAGACAGGGUUUUGCCAUGUUGCACAGGCUGGUCUCAAACUCUUGAGCUCAAGCAGUCUGCCCGCCCCAGCGUCCAAAAGUACUGGGAUUAUAGGGAUGAGCCACUGCACCCAGCCUGCUGUCUGUUCUUCCAGAUCUUUUCACGUGUACUUUUGUAUAUGUUUGUAUGCAUAUAGGAAGAGGUUUGGUUUUGUUAUACAUUAAUGGGCUCAUACAUAUUCAAAAUUCUCUUCUUUCCCCACUUGUUUUGUUUAUUAUGUCUGGG
rnacentral:lncRNA from 10 species